rnacentral:rRNA from 1 species
CGUCGCCGCGGUAAUACGGAGGGAGCUAGCGUUGUUCGGAAUUACUGGGCGUAAAGCGCGCGUAGGCGGUUAUUUAAGUCAGGGGUGAAAGCCCGGUGCUCAACACCGGAACAGCCCUUGAGACUGGAUAACUUGAAUCCAGGAGAGGUGAGUGGAAUUCCGAGUGUAGAGGUGAAAUUCGUAGAUAUUCGGAAGAACACCAGUGGCGAAGGCGGCUCACUGGACUGGUAUUGACGCUGAGGUGCGAAAGCGUGGGGAGCAAACAGGAUUAGAUACCCCAGUAGUCCCUGUCUCUUAUACC